rnacentral:lncRNA from 1 species
GACCUGUAACGAUGUCGUUUUCUUGCUCAUUAUGGGUGAUGAGUCAGAAAAGACCAGAGAGCUCUGUCGGAGAGAGAAGAUCGAGAAAGUUCCUCACUUUAGCUUUUAUAAGAGCAUGGAGAAAAUACACGAGGAAGAAGGUGAUUUCGAUUUUCCCCCUCGAUUCCUUUUGUUACUUAGAUAACUCUAUUUAAUCAGACCUGCCCAUGAUUAGUUGGACAAAACUCUCAAACUAAGGAAAAAUAAAUAAAGGUACAUAAUCUCUCAAAUUAAGGGAAAAAGUACAUAAUCUCUCAACUUCCACCAAUUUUUUAGCACAUUAUUAGUAUGUAAUCUUUCCCUUUUACAAAGAGUGUUGUUUUAGGGUUUUAUUUUUGUUUCACAAAAAAUUAUUUUGGUUUUACAAAGAGUGUCGUUUUAUAUUUUCAAUGCAAAAUUUUAAACAAUAUUCUAAUUUUAACUUUAUUAAUUUAAUGUAUUUACUAGAUAAAAACAAAUCAUUUAAUGUAUUAAUAAGGGACAAAGUUGUACAUGUCACACUCUCAAACGGAGAGAGUAUAAUAUUAUAAAAAAACGCACUUCGUCAUUGAUCAAGCAUGUUGACUACGAUUUACUAUGGUUAUUUUACUUAUUUAUUUGGUUAUUUUGUUGAUGCCGUAACACUAACUAUAACGAAAUUUAAAAGGAAAAAUCAGUAUAACUGCACAACUAUACGAAUUACUGAAUUAGUUUUACCGAUCACGUUUAGAAACAUAUACGAAUUUCGUGUACUUCAAUACGAUUUGUAAGAGAAUGGUUGCUAAUAGUUAUGUACAAAUAAUUCGAACUUUUUUUUUUUAUUUAUUGCAGGGAUUGGACCAGACCAGUUAAUGGGAGACGUGUUAUACUACGGCGAUAACCACUCGGCGGUGGUGCAGCUGCACGGACGAGCUGACGUGGAGAAGCUGAUCGACGAGAACCGAACCGGAGGAAAGCUGAUCGUGCUCGACGUGGGACUGAAACAUUGUGGCCCCUGCGUAAAGGUUUAUCCGACGGUACUGAAG